GAUGAACGCUGGCGGCGUGCCUAAUACAUGCAAGUCGAGCGAACAGACGAGGAGCUUGCUCCUCUGACGUUAGCGGCGGACGGGUGAGUAACACGUGGAUAACCUACUUAUAAUACUGGGAUAACUUCGGGAAACCGGAGCUAAUACCGGAUAAUAUAUUCAACCGCAUGGUUCAAUAGUGAAAGACGGUUUUGCUGUCACAUUUAGAUGGAUCCGCGCCGCAUUAGCUAGUUGGUAAGGUAACGGCUUACCAAGGCAACGAUGCGUAGCCGACCUGAGAGGGUGAUCGGCCACACUGGAACUGAGACACGGUCCAGACUCCUACGGGAGGCAGCAGUAGGGAAUCUUCCGCAAUGGGCGAAAGCCUGACGGAGCAACGCCGCGUGAGUGAAGAAGGUCUUCGGAUCGUAAAACUCUGUUAUUAGGGAAGAACAAAUGUGUAAGUAACUAUGCACGUCUUGACGGUACCUAAUCAGAAAGCCACGGCUAACUACGUG
rnacentral:rRNA from 1 species